GCCACAUCACCGUUAACGCAGCCUGUAGUAGCUUAAAGUUGGCUUAUAGCCUCCACGUGUAUGCUGACUCAGCCCUCUGUAUAGCUAGCUAUAGCUGCCACCUAGGACUAACAACUAGCCUAGAGCUGGCCUGAAGCUAACCUAUAGCUACCCUAUAGCUAGCAGAGUGCCACGUCAGCCAUGAACCCACUCACCGUUGACCCUUCGACCGGGUCAAUGCUAACAUCAUCAAGGCCCAUUGAUGACGUCAACAAGACGUGUGGCACGCUCUGGAGUUGCCACGUGUCACGCACGUGAUUUUUCCUAUUUUUGCAAAUUAUUUAAAAAUCUAGAAAUUGAUUUAAACUUCAAAAAUUCAUAUUUAAUUCAUCUUGUUUCAUAGUUUUUUCUAAAAUCAUGAAGAACACGAUAGACUAGUCCUUGUUCUUGUUUGGGUCUUCUAUGGAUCUCUUUUGAAUGUUCUUUGCAAGUAGACCCCUAGUAAUUAUGUUAAUUGCGCAAUUAGGAGCUGCCGAAGACACGGAGCCGAACCUGCAGCAGGAGCCGUACAAGGACCACUACGAGGAGGAAGACUACUCAGGUUCAUGCCCAUUCAAUUUAAAUACCCAUUAGGCAUUGCUAAUAGAAUGCUAGCGUUUUAUUUCCUCAUAUUAUGAUGAUGAACCAUGCAUAGUCUAUUUUUAUGCCUUGAAUCCUUGUGUGACCUACUACCAUUUUGCUUAUAUAUGCUAUGUGCAAUGCUUGCAUGUAUAUGCGAUAUUGUGAAUAGGAUUCUUGGCGUGAGUGGGGUUAAAACUGGCAGGAGAAGGUGUUUUUGGGAUAUUUGACGGGGGUGAGCUUUACACAACCCAAUCUUUGGAUUGGGGGCUUAGGGUUCAUUCUCGGACGUUUCCUGUUUGGUACUUGUUGUGAGUACAUGGUUGAGGAGCAUAUGAGUUGGUGGUGAUACCUGUUAUGGGUGCCGUUGCGAUCUAAGUGGUGGCAUCGCUUUUGUGGGAGAUUAGGAGCUCGCCCCGGUCUGAAACCGAGUGGGUUGCCAUGCUUCACGGGAAUAUGUUAAACGUGCACGCCACUCAUCAAAUUAUGGGUUUAGGCCUGGGUCGAGACUGACAAGUGUGGUACCAUACUUGCUGUAGGAUGGAGUAUCACUGUAGGGGGAGAGGUGUUGACCUAUAGCCCCCUGAUUUGUUUUUGCCCCCGAUUGGCCCCGGUGGGAGUGCUUCACAGUACCAGGGUGUUCCACUACGGGGGAUCGCGUCCGAGCCCGGUUGCAGGAUGGUAUCAUAACUCCCAGGUUCUUCGCUCGGUAGGGUGUGGUUCAGUCGACUAGCUACUGGCUGCGCUCACCCCGAGAUGGGUCCGGGUGUACACGCUCUGUAGAGUUAAAACUAAUUCUUACCAACUCCCAAAUGAUAGAUUGUUGUAUCAUUUGGGAAACAUGCGGUAUGUCUCCUUGCUUUGUCAAAAUCUUGUUCUAAAUUUGCCUUUAUAAUAAUUAUAAUGAUAUACUUCUCUUGUGCAAUUCUAGAAAAAUUUGCCUAACUAUACACUGUACGUCUGUUCAACAGGUGGUAAUGGAUAUACUCUGUGAUGGAACGUAACAUACACAAUCGUAUAUUUUUCAGCUGAUCGAGCAUCGUAGGGGAGUGAUUUGCAAUCUUCUCCAUGGUUUGCUGAUUUUUUUAAAAAAUAACUAUAUUUGAAUUGUAUUUGAAGUCUUGCGUAUGUAGUUUGGCCAUUUGUUAUUGUAAUAAUUUAAUAUUCUGGUUUCGCUGUUGAAAAAGCAACCUCAAUGUGGCGUCAAUUUUAUGAAACAUAAACAUAAGAGGUAGUUUUGCUUGUUUCAUCUAGAUGUCCAAGCCAGCUUCACGUAUUCAACUUCAGACUAU
rnacentral:lncRNA from 1 species